AGAGUUUGAUCAUGGCUCAGAACGAACGCUGGCGGCAGGCUUAACACAUGCAAGUCGAACGCGUGUAGCAAUACACGAGUGGCGCACGGGUGAGUAACGCGUGGAUAUCUGCCUUUUGGUUCGGAAUAACCCCGGGAAACUGGGGCUAAUACCGGAUGGUUCCUACGGGAUAAAGAUUUAUCGCCAAAAGAUGAGUCCGCGUACGAUUAGCUAGUUGGGAGGUAAUGGCUCACCAAGGCGACGAUCGUUAGCUGGCUGAGAGGACGAUCAGCCACACUGGGACUGAGACACGGCCCAGACUCCUACGGGAGGCAGCAGUGGGGAAUAUUGGACAAUGGGGGCAACCCUGAUCCAGCCAUGCCGCGUGAGUGAUGAAGGCCUUCGGGUUGUAAAGCUCUUUUGGCGGGGACGAUGAUGACGGUACCCGCAGAAUAAGCCCCGGCUAACUUCGUGCCAGCAGCCGCGGUAAGACGAAGGGGGCUAGCGUUGUUCGGAAUUACUGGGCGUAAAGCGAGUGUAGGUGGUUGUCCAAGUUGGAUGUGAAAGCCUUGAGCUCAACUCAAGAAAUGCAUUCAGGACUGGAUGACUAGAGGACCGGAGAGGAUAGUGGAAUUCCCAGUGUAGUGGUGAAAUACGUAGAUAUUUGGGAAGAACACCAGUGGCGAAGGCGGCUAUCUGGGACGGUUUCUGACACUAAGACUCGAAAGCGUGGGGAGCAAACAGGAUUAGAUACCCUAGUAGUCC
rnacentral:rRNA from 1 species